AUAAUGUGCAAUAUAAGUUUGGAGUAUAGAAAAUUCGUAUAUGGAAUAUAAUUAAUAUGAGCCAAGUGGGAGAUUGUUAGAAUUUUCAGAAAUGUGGUGCAAUUAAUCAUAUUAAAAUCUAGAUUUACUAUAGAUAAAGGUCAAUCCUAAUAGAUAUAAAGUCAUUUGAUAUGAUAUAUUUUAUCAUUUUUCCAUCAUU
rnacentral:lncRNA from 1 species